rnacentral:lncRNA from 1 species
AAAAAAAUUAUACUUGUAGUUUUUAAAGAACCGUUAUACUCUAAAAGUUUAUACCGGUAGAAAAUGAUAUUGAAAUAUUUAUAUACUUAACACUCUCUCCCAGUCUCAACAUUUUUUGUAGGCCUAUGACGUGAACUUGAAUUAAAUUAAAAAAAAUUAAUAAUACUAUGAGUCUGGUAUGACUCGAACUUAGAAUUUUUUUAUUCUGAAUCAUGUUAAACAACCGUUGUAUCCUAAAAACUUAAACUAUUUUUUUCAAGAAAAAGGUAGUAAGCUACCCGCUCUAAAAUCUUAAACUAUUAAAAAAUAGGAAAAACUUCAAAAACCCUCCCUGUGGUUUCGCACUUUUUCAUUUUAGUACCUUGUGGUAUAAAGUGUAUAUAUCAAGUUAGUACCCUGUGGUUUAUCACUUUAUCACUUUAGUACCCUGUGGUUUAAAGUGUAUCAAAUUAGUACUCUGUGGUUUUAUUUUUGUAUCAAGUUAGUAUCCUGUCGUUUUAUUUUUGUAUCAAAGUAGUACCCUGUGGUUUUUAAACCGCAGGGUACUAAAGUGAUAAAGUGCGAAACCAGAGGGUACUAAAGUGAUAAAGUGCGAAACUACAGGGUACUAACUUGAUACACUUUAAACCACAGGGUACUAGAGUAAAAAGUGCAAAACCACAGGGUACUAACUUGAUACACUUUAAAUCACAGGAUAUUAAAGUGAGAAAAAGUGAAAUCACAGAGUAUUUCAUGUUGUCCCUAAAAAUUAAUAUUCAAAUAUUUUUAUAUUUAAUA